CGGACGGGUGAGUAAUGUCUGGGAAACUGCCCGAUGGAGGGGGAUAACUACUGGAAACGGUAGCUAAUACCGCAUAACGUCGUAAGACCAAAGAGGGGGACCUUCGGGCCUCUUGCCAUCGGAUGUGCCCAGAUGGGAUUAGCUAGUAGGUGGGGUAACGGCUCACCUAGGCGACGAUCCCUAGCUGGUCUGAGAGGAUGACCAGCCACACUGGAACUGAGACACGGUCCAG
rnacentral:rRNA from 1 species